AUGGAAAGCUUACUGCAUUGGGACUUUGCUUCGGGCCUAGCCCUUGCAGAUCAGGUGAGAAGAAAAUUUGGGUCUACAGUCCAUUUCUCCCCCUCACGAGACACCAAAGAGUUAUUUUUGGUUGUUUCUUUCUCCUCGGCCUAGUUCCCUCUCUCUGUGGAAGCAGUUGGUAUUGCAUUGCAACGUUGUCUUGGAGGGAUCUCUUCUGGCUUCAAGGUGGUUCAGAUCACCUCUCGAUCUUUUCGUUUCUCGGUUGCUAAUAACAAAGUGGGGCAUUUUGUUUAUGGGCUCAAAGACCGUAUUUGGCCAGAUUUUGUGUGUCAUUUUCAUCUGUUCAAUGGUCGUUUUGCCAAAGCUCAUCCUAUUGAUCAACAUUGGCAUGCUGAUACGGAGUUGGUUGAUAUUGCGGACCGGAGAACCAUAGCUCUCAAAUCAUCACUUAAGUUUCUGACCCCAAAGGGAAAGUUGGACAAUCUUCAUCGACGGUACCUAGCAAAUUUGGGCUUAUUAAGCUGGAUAAUUGGAAUUUUUCGAACAAGAAUGCCCAUGAAGCUUCAUUGUCAUCGGAUCCGAAGCAGCAUUUCCAUAUUCAAUUUGGUUCUUUUCCUUCGCUCCAAAAUCCGGGCGUAG
rnacentral:rRNA from 1 species